rnacentral:rRNA from 1 species
CCCUUAGAUGUUCUGGGCCGCACGCGCGCUACACUGAUGCAUUCAACGAGUAAUCUUUGACCUUGGUCGACAGAUCUGGGUAAUCUUUUGAAAUUGCAUCGUGAUGGGGCUUGCGGGUUGCAAUUACCCGCACCAACGAGGAAUUCCUAGUAAACGCAAGUCAUCAACUUGCAUUGAUUACGUCCCUGCCCUUUGUACACACCGCCCGUCGCUCCUACCGAUUGAGCGGUCCGGUGAAGACUCAGGAGAUGGGCGCGUGCUUGGUUCGCCAACUGCGCUGUCUGCCAAAUUUGUCUAAACCUUAUCGCUUAGAGGAAGGAGAAGUCGUAACA